rnacentral:rRNA from 1 species
CCCUUAGAUGUCCUGGGCCGCACGCGCGCUACACUGAGUGUCUGAGAUACGAGUCUGCCUGGUCCGGCAAGGUCUAGGUAAUCGCUAAAAGACACAUCAUGCUUGGGAUAGAUUAUUGCAAAUAUUAAUCUUGAACGAGGAAUUCCUAGUAAGCGCAAGUCAACAGCUUGCGUUGAUUACGUCCCUGCCCUUUGUACAAACCGCCCGUCGCUACUACUGAUUGGAUGUUUAAGCGAGGUUCUCGAACUGCUAGCGACUUAGCUUCGGUGAGGUCGCAGUGUGGGAAGUGAACCUAGCUUUGGUGUCUAGAGGAAGUAAAAGUCGUAACA